AAACUUGUAAAGCUUGACAGGGAGAGAGGUGAGGGAGUGAGGCAGCACGCUCUGAACAUGACGUGAUGGACUGCAGCUUGUUCAGGGGAAGGGUAUGGCCUGCUCUGCAGGACUGUCACCAAGAUAGUGAUCUUUGUCAAGAAGAGAGACCCCAAGAUCUGGAAAAAUAGCCAUCUGUGAUGCCUUCAUCCAUUUUUCAAAGAGUUGGAUCCCAGUGAUUCAACUGAGCUGAUCAUUGGCAGGCGAAUUGGAGACCCAUUUACAGAGACAACCUGGAGAUGGAGGAGGUCCAAGAACUAAGCUGGAGAAGAAAACAUGCUUAGAUAAUGUGCUGCACACUGGUGGGAGUGAUGGAGGAGAGAGCUGAGCAAAGACAGCUCAGUUUGGACACAUCUCUGAGGAGCCAGAGUAGAGCUGCCUGCAUUGGAAACGGGUGUGAUGUCUGCAGCACAGUUUUCCUGAGAGUUGUGACGCUCCUGGAAAGAAACCCUACUGGCUGCCUCUGCUGGUUCCUGCUCCAGCCCUGCUGUUACCCCUGA
rnacentral:lncRNA from 1 species